rnacentral:rRNA from 1 species
UACGUAGGGGGCUAGCGUUGUCCGGAAUCAUUGGGCGUAAAGCGCGUGUAGGCGGUCCGGUAAGUCCGCUGUGAAAGUCGAGGGCUCAACCCUCGAAUGCCGGUGGAUACUGUCGGGCUAGAGUGCGGAAGAGGCGAGUGGAAUUCCUGGUGUAGCGGUGGAAUGCGCAGAUAUCAGGAGGAACACCGGUGGCGAAGGCGGGUCUCUGGGCAGUAACUGACGCUGAGGAGCGAAAGCGUGGGGAGCGAACAGG